rnacentral:rRNA from 1 species
AGCGAAGCUAUUAAUAUUAAUUAAAUUAAUAUUAAGUGAACUAUGUUCAUUAAAAUUCUAGAUAAAAGUAUGAUAAUGACAUUUUUUAUCUAUAAGUCUUGACCAAGUCAUGUGCCAGCAGUCGCGGUAAUACAUGGAAGACUAGUGUUAUUCAUCUUUAAUAGGUUUAAAGGGUACCUAGACAGUUAAUAAAGCCUAAUAAAGGAACUAAUUAACUAGAGUUUGAUAUGAAAAGGUAGUACAAGGAGUGUAGAGAUAAAAUUUUGUGAUCCCUUUUGGAACUGUCAAAGGCGAAGGCGACCUUUUAUGUAAAAACUGACGUUGAGGGACGAAGGCUCGAUAAACGAAUAGGAUUAGAUACCCUAGUAAUGUGGGCNGAAAAUGAUGAANGUGAUAUGUAAGUAAUAAUUUACGUAUAAAUGAAAGUGUAAACAUUCCACCUCANGAGUAAUGCGGCAACGCAUAAACUGAAAUCAUUAGACCGUUUCUGAAACCAGUAGUGAAGUAUGUUGUUUAAUUUGAUGAUCCACGGAAAACCUUACCACAAUUUGAAUAUUUAUAUUUAUAUAUUUAUACAAGAGUUGCACGGNUGUCUUC